rnacentral:lncRNA from 1 species
GGAAAAAGUCUGAAGACUUGAGCCUCUUGAACCAAGAGGAAGUUAUUGUCCCUGGAGAGUGUUCUAAACCGAACAGUAUGCAGAAGCUUCAUUAACACGACAUGGCAAAGGCAUCCAUACAAAACAACACUGCUUCAGCAGAUAACGAUGUUGAUACAUUUGAAGUAGCUGGAAAUAUUGCAAAAAUAUUUCUUCUAAGCAUAUACGCUGCACUCGCC